rnacentral:tRNA from 1 species
GCCUUCGUGGUGUACUGGUCAACACACUCGGAUCGUAUUCGAGAGGUCCAUGGUUCGAGUCCCGGCGAAGGUG